UACGUAGGUGGCAAGCGUUGUCCGGAUUUAUUGGGUUUAAAGGGUGCGUAGGCGGCCUUAUAAGUCAGUGCUGAAAUAUCCCGGCUUAACCGGGAGGGUGGCAUUGAUACUGUAGGGCUUGAGUGUAGUCGAGGUAGGCGGAAUUGACGGUGUAGCGGUGAAAUGCUUAGAUAUCGUCAAGAACACCGAUAGUGUAGACAGCUUACUAGGCUACAACUGACGCUGAGGCACGAAAGUGUGGGGAUCAAACAGG
rnacentral:rRNA from 2 species